rnacentral:tRNA from 1 species
AAAGUCUUAAGUUAAUUAAACUAAUAACCUUCAAAGUUGUAAAUAAAAAAUAAUUUUUUAGAUUUUA